rnacentral:pre_miRNA from 1 species
UUAAAGAUUUCAACUUAAAGACUUCAACUUGUAGACCUGAAGAAUUUGAAGACUUCAACUUGCAGAAUUAAAGAAUUUGAAGACUUCAACU